GGCCAUGUAGCUCAGUUGGAAGAGCACGGAGAUCUAAUCCGGGGUCUUGGGUUCGAUCCCCAACCUGGCCA